rnacentral:tRNA from 1 species
UCCUCGGUAGCUCAGUUGGCAGAGCAAGCGGCUGUUAACCGCUGGGUCGUAGGUUCAAGUCCUACCCGGGGAGCCA